AUUUGUGGGUUUUCCAUUGUUUUGUUUUUUGGUGAAAUUGGGUUUUGGGUUUGGUUUGUUUGAUCGUCGAUUGUGGAAAUUGAAAAUGAGGGUAUGGUUUUUGCUUGAUUGUUCACUACAAAAAAGAAUUGCAAUGGCUACACAUGGAUAGCGUCAGUAGCCAAAAGGAGCAUUGGCUUUGAGGUAUUGAAUAUAAUUUCAUUCAUAGUUGAAGGGUUUUGGGUUGAAUAGAAUUUCAUUCAUGCCUGAAGGGACGUUCUGUUACAGUGAAUCUCUGAUAUAGUUGAAUUUGCAGAAAUUGCUGGAUGCUUACAGAGGUUAAAAAGCUCAGAGAAGCAGAAUAUUUGCAGGCAUUUCAACUCUGACCAUCCCUGUGCAGUUCCAAGCAAACAAAAUGGACUCAAUUUGGAUAAAUACUGACAAACCAAGGGACAUUGUUUAACGUUUAUGAGCCAAAGAAGAACGAUCUAAACUUUGCACUCAAAGAAGAAGUGUGAAAGCCAAGAUUGGGAAGCUACUGUUCACUGUUGUCAGCAAGCUCUUAUUGUUUGCACUUUGAGUUUUGACACCUCCACAUUUGAACUAUGUAUUGCUGGAGCUAUCAUUGUCAAGUUUCCUGUUUUGGGGAGCUCAUCUCCGGGACCUUCCAAUACCAAAGUUUUUGGCCAUUUUGUCAGCAUGGGAUUUUCCAAUAAUGGGGGCAAACUACUUUGAAGCUACUGUCAAAUGGUUGCCAAAGCUAUUCAGGAACAUGGCGAGGAAAGCGCCGAUUCAAUCCGUCACAUCAUUGUUUUCAGCAAUAGUACUAUCUUCAACUGUCGAGAUCUCAGCCUCAUUCUGUUUUACAUGCUUUGACAGUCCUUUGAGAUCAGAUAGACAAGUUUCUUAGCUCCAUGAUGAAAACAUGUCAUUGUUACUUUCCUUUUU